CUGGUAAGCACAUAACAUCAUAGAAAAACCACAUAGUCAACAUUAAUUCUUAUAUUCAUUAUCAUCUGAUUUGUGAUUAUAAUGUAAUAAUGAGUAACAUGUAAUAAUUGUAUUAUUUUUUUGGACAGGUACUAUGUUUUUUUAUGCUGGAUGUUCCCUCUUAACCAUUCUAUUUGUAGCAAAAGUAGUCCCAGAAACCAAAGGCAAAACAUUGGAAGAAAUCCAGGCUUGCAUUAGUUCUUAGAGAAUGAGCAAAAAAUAUAUAUUUUGAUCUAUUUGAUUAUGAGAGAUAAAGCUAUAAAGCAAAUCAGGACACUUUCCAAUUAUUGCUAUUAUUUAUCAAAUUCUUUUGGGUCCAUUUAGGACAGACAAAGCAUAGAU
rnacentral:lncRNA from 1 species